ACAGUCACUUUAUUAGAAUGAUUCACCACUGAUAACUGUUUUGUGUUUUCCCAUGUGUCAAGGUCCUGGUGCCCUCUCCCCUGCUCAGGCAAAAGCUGCUAAAUAUGGUGCAGGAGUAGUUCCUGGUGGUGCUGGGAUUGUGCCAGGAGCUGGAGGGGUUUAUCCUGCAACGGGAGGUCUUACUCCCGCUCAAGCCAAAGCAGCUAAAUAUUCCCAACAUUUCAGUGGGGCAGCUGGAACUGGUGUUGGAGGACUGUACCCUGGAGCUGGAGGUGCACCAGUUGGUGGAGUAGUGGGGGGAGCCGGGGGA
rnacentral:lncRNA from 1 species